UAGGGAAUCUUCGGCAAUGGACGGAAGUCUGACCGAGCAACGCCGCGUGAGUGAAGAAGGUUUUCGGAUCGUAAAGCUCUGUUGUAAGAGAAGAACGAGUGUGAGAGUGGAAAGUUCACACUGUGACGGUAUCUUACCAGAAAGGGACGGCUAACUACGUGCCAGCAGCCGCGGUAAUACGUAGGUCCCGAGCGUUGUCCGGAUUUAUUGGGCGUAAAGCGAGCGCAGGCGGUUAGAUAAGUCUGAAGUUAAAGGCUGUGGCUUAACCAUAGUAGGCUUUGGAAACUGUUUAACUUGAGUGCAAGAGGGGAGAGUGGAAUUCCAUGUGUAGCGGUGAAAUGCGUAGAUAUAUGGAGGAACACCGGUGGCGAAAGCGGCUCUCUGGCUUGUAACUGACGCUGAGGCUCGAAAGCGUGGGGAGCAAACAGGAUUAGAUACCCUGGUAGUCCACGCUAUAAACGAUGAGUGCUAGGUGUUAGACCCUUUCCGGGGUUUAGUGCCGUAGCUAACGCAUUAAGCACUCCGCCUGGGGAGUACGACCGCAAGGUUG
rnacentral:rRNA from 1 species